rnacentral:rRNA from 1 species
GUGACUGAGUGGCGGACGGGUGAGUAACGCGUGGGUAACCUGCCUCAUACAGGGGGAUAACAGUUAGAAAUGGCUGCUAAUACCGCAUAAGCGCACAGUACCACAUGGUACCGUGUGAAAAACUCCGGUGGUAUGAGAUGGACCCGCGUCUGAUUAGCUAGUUGGCAGGGUAACGGCCUACCAAGGCGACGAUCAGUAGCCGACCUGAGAGGGUGAUCGGCCACAUUGGGACUGAGACACGGCCCAAACUCCUACGGGAGGCAGCAGUGGGGAAUAUUGCACAAUGGGGGAAACCCUGAUGCAGCGACGCCGCGUGAAGGAAGACGUAUUUCGGUAUGUAAACUUCUAUCAGCAAGGAAGAUGAUGACGGUACUUGACUAAGAAGCCCCGGCUAACUACGUGCCAGCAGCCGCGGUAAUACGUAGGGGGCAAGCGUUAUCCGGAUUUACUGGGUGUAAACGGAGCGUAGGCGGCCAUGCAAGUCAGAAGUGAAAGCCCGGGGCUCAACCCCGGGACUGCUUUUGAAACUGUA